CCAGACAACUGACUGACUGAGUGGCAGAACAGAGCUGGUGCCACUUCGGGGGAGACAGACCAUGGCCCCAGACAAGUGCUCCUGAGCCCCGGGCCAGCCGUACUCCUGAGCACACCAAGUCAGUUCACAAAUCAAAGAAGAGCCCUCUUGAGACUCACACACAGGCUGGGACAGGGGCCAGCCAGAAGAGCUAUCCAAUAGCCAUCAGGCCCUGGGCUCCACCCCAGCACUGAGAGAAACACAUGAACGGUGGACACCUCAGAACAGCCAGUGGAAGGAGCCAGAUGCACAGCACAUGCACUGAGCAAGACCACAUGUGCAGCAUCCAGAACAGCGCCUGCAGCCAGAGUAGGUCAGUGGCUUGGCAGGGUGGACCAAACAGGGUCACCACGCCAGUGUACCAAAUACCAUCAAACUGCCACUUCAGGUAGGUGAAGCUGCUCUACUCAUCUCACCUCCACACGAAGAAACAGCCCUGAGCUCAGACUACACACUGUGCAAAACCCUCCCCUGUCCAACCACACCCAAGCCUCAAGCCUGGUUAACUGACUCCAUAGGCCAGCUGCCAAGGGGCCAGCAUGCCUGCUGGGCCCUGGCCCUCCACAGCUGAGCUCCCACCCCAGGGCUCUGCUCAAGGACAGCAGGGCAACAGGACCUCCUGACCAGGCCCAAUCACAAUCCCAGACUGGAGCCCCGGGCCUCCAGCAGACACCAGUGGAGGGUGAAGGGGAGGAUGUCCCAUGGGGCCCAACAGGGAGACCCGAGGUUGUUCUGCAGAGGACUGCACACUCCAUGGAUGGCCACAUUGGCACAGCUGAGAUGCAGGCAUUUGCAGGAGUGCUAAACAGGGCUGAAUGUAACCAUAUGAAGUGGGAUACUGCCUCCUGUACAUCCACACAGUCCACAACUGUCCUAUUCCAGACCAUGCCUGUGUCCUCUGACCCACCGGUCACUCCUAACCUACUUUUCCCCCUGGAGUGCAGGGUAUUCCUGUCCAACAUGCCUCACUCAGCAGGGUGCCCGGCAUGGUGCCCAGGGUCCUGCCAACCUGGUGCAGGGCACUGGUCACUCUUGUCCAUGGCUGAACAGUGUUCCAUGUCUGUCUGCCAACAGAGGAACCUCUCGGCCAGGAUGAAGAAGGCCGCUGCCCAUUUCCAGGUCUCUUGGGCCUCUGUCUAGAGCUGCCAGUUGUGGGACAAGCCAUCCUGGAAUGAGGAGGUUCAGCCCAUCAUUGCCUAAAAGCUGGUGGUGCUGGACAGAAGUUCAUCCUGCUGGCCUGCAUGUGUGCAGAUGGGUUGGAACCCAGGACCUGGAGAGCUUAGCAAGUUCUGCCUGAGUUGCACCCCAGCCUGCUGGUGGCCAUUUGGACGUCAUCCUUGGAGAAACAGACCCUGUGCUGACCUUUAUUUCAUAUGCAUGCACAUAUGCACACAGGCGCUAAUGACAAGGCCACCUCCACAGCCCUUGCCACUCGGCCUCACCCAGGCUGGCUGGGAACCUGUGGUCCUCCUGCUUCUGCCUCUGAGUGGCGGGGUCAGAGUGGGAGGCAUGCCCACCACACCCAGCUCCUCUGCCCAGCCUUCAUGUGGAAUACCUUGUUAGUAAAGGUUUCUAAGAGUCCUUUCUGUACCUCUUUUGUCUUCUCAUCUUUCUAUGGUAAAAUAUAUUGCUUUUAUAAUCAGGAGAAAUAAAACCACUGCUGACUUUUGAUCAGAAGUGGAAAUGAGCCUGAUAGCACAUUUAAUUUCUGUAGAGCACUGCAUGUGGCUAAAACAACUCUUCAAUGUGCAAUUCAUUUCUAGAGUAGAAUAUCUGUUAAAUGAGGGGGCUCUUUAGAUAAGUUUUUAUAUUUUUUGAGAUGUUCACAUUUCUGUUAAUUAAAUGUCAUCAUAAUUUGCA